UACGGAGGGAGCUAGCGUUGUUCGGAAUUACUGGGCGUAAAGCGCGCGUAGGCGGCUUUGUAAGUUAGAGGUGAAAGCCCAGGGCUUAACCCUGGAAUUGCCUUUAAGACUGCAUCGCUAGAAUCGUGGAGAGGUGAGUGGAAUUCCGAGUGUAGAGGUGAAAUUCGUAGAUAUUCGGAAGAACACCAGUGGCGAAGGCGACUCACUGGACACGUAUUGACGCUGAGGUGCGAAAGCGUGGGGAGCAAACAGG
rnacentral:rRNA from 1 species